AUCGCGUCGCCCCCCAACACCGUGCAUGAAACACUGCCGGUUGUCGGAGGGUCGGAUAUUGGCUUCCCGUGCUUUGGUGUGGCUGGCCUAAAUGAAGUCCCUUGCGACGGACACGACGACAAGUGGUGGUUGAUUACCUCAACUCAGUUGCUGUCGUUUGUUGACCCGUCGGAUGAGCAGACUCCGUGNNCUUAAUAGCAAUGUGCGCACGAUGCAUGCCACGACCGC
rnacentral:rRNA from 1 species